CUUUAGUGGCGAACGGGUGCGUAAUACGUGAGAAUCUGCCCUUAGGAGGAGAAUAACUUCUGGAAACGGUUGCUAAGUCUCCAUAUGCCGAGAGGUGAAAUAGUUUAUACUGCCUAGGGAUGAGCUCACGCCUGAUUAGCUUGUUGGUAAGGUAAUGGCUUACCAAGGCCACGAUCAGUAGCUGGUUUGAGAGAACGAUCAGCCACACUGGGACUGAGACACGGCCCAGACUCCUCCGGGAGGCAGCAGUGAGGAAUUUUCCGCAAUGGGCGAAAGCCUGACGGAGCAAUACCGCGUGAGGGAUGAAGGAUUUUGGUCUGUAAACCUCUUUUCUCAAGAAAGAAGUUCUGACGGUACUUGAGGAAUAAGCAUCGGCUAACUCCGUGCCAGCAGCCGCGGUAAUACGGGGGAUGCAAGCGUUAUCCGGAAUCAUUGGGCGUAAAGCGCCUGUAGGUUGUUUAAUAGGUCUGUUGUUAAAGACUAGGGCUUAACCCUAGGAAAGCAAUGGAAACUGCUAGACUUGAGUAUGAUAG
rnacentral:rRNA from 1 species